rnacentral:rRNA from 1 species
CGCAUCUGUGCAUGCAGCAUAUCAAUAAGCGGAGGAAAAGAAACUAACAAGGAUUCCCUUAGUAACGGCGAGUGAAGCGGGAAGAGCUCAAAUUUGAAAUCUUCAAGGUUUUACCUUGACGAAUUGUAGUUUAAAGAAGUGUUUUCUGUUGAAGUUUUGGUAAAAGUUCUUUGGAAUAGGACAUCAUAGAGGGUGAGAAUCCCGUAUUUGACCAUUAUUUUCAGCUGUGUGAUACACUUUCAAAGAGUCGGAUUGUUUGGGAAUGCAGUCCAAAAUGGGUGGUAAAUUUCAUCUAAAGCUAAAUAUUGGCGAGAGACCGAUAGCGAACAAGUACCGUGAGGGAAAGAUGAAAAGAACUUUGAAAAGAGAGUUAAACAGUACGUGAAAUUGUCAAAAGGGAAGCGUUUGACACCAGUGUUGUUUUCUCGAAAAUCAAUUAAAAAGAGUUUGAUUUUGUUGUGUAUUGACCUUAACAGCUUGCAUUUCAAUUUUCUUGCUUUUUUUAAUGCACUUUUCGUUUAACAAGUCAACAUCAGUUUCUUUUGUUGUAAAAGGGUCAUUGGAAGGUGGCUUUCUCUUCGGAGAAAGUGUUUAUAGCCUUUGAUCUCUGCAAUCGGAGAGACUGAGGUCUGCAGCGUAGAUCCUUCGGGGUUAGAUACAUUUGUGCUAAGCUACUAGCUUUUCAUAGACAACUUGUUGACUAUGAUUAGUCUUGUAGCUUACUCGCUUAUGCUAUUUUACCUACGCUUAGGAUGUUGACGCGCGUGUGUGCGUG